UAAAAACUUAGGAUAAAAUUAAACCAAGGGCCUUCAAAGCCCAAGACAUGGGUUAAACUCCCAUAGUUUUU
rnacentral:tRNA from 1 species